CCAGAGACUGAACUCAGAUCCACAGCAGUGAAAAUGCCAAGUCCUAACCACUGGACUGCCAGCAGCAGAGACAACCAGCAACAUCAACGAUGAUUUUGGCUCAGGAACUGCUGAUGAACAUACAGUGCAGUGGUGGUUCAAGAAGUUUUGCAAAGGAGACAAGAGCCUUGGAGAUGAGGAAGGUAGUUGACAACGACCAUUUGAGAGCAGUCAUCAAAGCUGAUCCCCCUACAACUACAUGAGAAAUUGCUGAAGAACUCAACAUCCACUCUUCUAUGGUCACUGGGCAUUUGAAGUAAAUUGGAAAGGAGGAAAAUCUCAAUAAGUGGGUGUCUCAUGAACUGAC